CACCAGCACCACAAGCGGGAGCCAUAAUUAUUGGGUCUAAAGCAUCCGUAGCCGGUUUGGUAAAUCUUUUGUGAAAUUGUUAGACUUAAUCUCGCAACGCG
rnacentral:rRNA from 1 species